CGAUACGCCUGUGAUUCCACACACAAGAACCCAAUGAAAUGUGUCGUUUACGCGAGUGGAGAGGCGACGCACACAGACGCUAUUUGUUGGCAUGUGCAAUGCUUCAGCGUUCAUGGCACGCGAUCGAGGGCAGUCAGUGAAUAUCGUCUCGGUAAAUCCGAGAUAAAACCUAGCGGACUGUGUCUCGUGACUGUAACGCCAAGUCGAGCUGACAUCGCGAAUGAGGACUCGCGUCUAUUGACACUGUCGUGUAACCUGUUGCUCACAAACUGUGUUGAUGAUGCUGUGUUUGGGGGAUGCGCAUCCCUACCCCCGUCAUCGCUAACCUCUAUAAAGGAUGUAACAGAGACGCUGUUUAUAUUGCGGAAAUCGUUCACAGGGUGAAUCGUCAUCAGUCAACGUAACCUAUAGUUAAUUUCGUGGCAUUUGAACAAGUUGACGGACUUAGUAUUUUUACAAGUCAUUUACUUCUUUGUGACCUAAUUAAGGAAUUAACUAACAACGCACCACAGCCCUGACUGAGAUUUCCUGGAUUUUACCAUCGGCUUCUACAACAAGAAGUGUCAGUCGUCAUUGGUCAAGAUACGUGUUUAUGAAGACGCAUUGGCUUAAUUGCACUAUGCAGCUAUAUGGGGGCGGUCUGUAUAUAACCGAGUCUGAUC